rnacentral:rRNA from 1 species
AGAGUUUGAUCCUGGCUCAGAGCGAACGCUGGCGGCGUGCUUAACACAUGCAAGUCGAGUGCGCGUUUCCGUAGCAAUACGGAAAUGGCGCACGGCGCACGGGUGCGUAACACGUGGGUAAUCUGCCCUCUGAUGGGGAAUAACUCGCCGAAAGGCGAGCUAAUUCCGCAUAACAUUCCUUGGACUCCGGUCCGAGGAUUCAAAGGCGUAAGUCGUCGGAGGUGGAGCCCGCGCACGAUUAGCUAGUUGGUGAGGUAAUGGCUCACCAAGGCUAUGAUCGUUAGCUGGUCUGAGAGGAUGGCCAGCCACACUGGAACUGAGACACGGUCCAGACUCCUACGGGAGGCAGCAGUGGGGAAUCUUGCACAAUGGGCGAAAGCCUGAUGCAGCGACGCCGCGUGGGGGAUGAAGCUUCUCGGAGUGUAAACCCCUUUCGACCGGGACGAAUACCUCGUAAGAGGGGUGACGGUACCGGUAUAAGAAGCCCCGGCUAACUACGUGCCAGCAGCCGCGGUAAGACGUGGGGGGCCAGCGUUGCUCGGAAUUACUGGGUGUAAAGGGUUCGUAGGCGGUGUGGCAAGUCGGGAGUGAAAUCUCUGGGCUCAACCCAGGGGCUGCUUCCGAAACUGCCGUGCUAGAGUGUGGGAGAGGCGCGUGGAAUUGCAGGUGUAGCGGUGAAAUGCGUAGAUAUCUGCAGGAACACCCGUGGCGAAAGCGGCGCGCUGGACCACUACUGACGCUGAGGAACGAAAGCUAGGGGAGCAAACAGGAUUAGAUACCCUGGUAGUCCUAGCCCUAAACGAUCAGGACUUGGGGUGCCACCCGUUCGGGUGUCGUCCCGGAGCUAACGCGUUAAGUCCUGCACCUGGGGAGUACGGUCGCAAGACUGAACUCAAAGGAAUUGACGG